AUGCUCCCAGGAAAUGGGGCGCUCUCCGUGCUCUGGGUUAUUUGGUCAUUUCUUUCUCCACGUGACAUUCGUUUGACCGUUGUUUCCCUCGCAUGCCCCUGUUGUAUUUGUGUCAUUUGGUCGUAUAUGAAACAUACCCAUCGCCUAUCGAUGUCCUUAUCUCUCCCCCUUGCUGCGCACAUUCGUGGCCGCUCCUUAUCUCUUUGUUUCUCAUACGCCAAGAGCAAACUGAUCUCCACAACCUCACCUGCCCCUCCCAUGAUGUGCAACACCAUGGAUUCACGGUUUCGCGGCAAUCUCCAACCUCCCUCGCCCCUCCGCUGA
rnacentral:rRNA from 1 species